UGGAAUCGCUCAGUCGGUAGAGCAUGAGACUCUUGCCCUCAGGGUUGUGGGUUCGAGCCUCACAUUGGAAAAA